UUUUUGGAAGGUGCUCGAGAGCGCGUCGAGCAUCGUCGUCAUCAAACAACAAACUAACACCGCACCGAAAACCGCGGAGACUGGGCACAGAGUGCGCGCGCGAGAGCUGCAACAUACAGAAAUUCGGCGGCGGCGGUCCGUGAGGGCGACUUUACUUUUUCGAAGCGCGAUACGAGAAACCGGGUUACGGCAGUACGUGCUGCCGCUUUUAACGCUGACCCGCGGAAACACACAAAACCCCUGGAAUCGGUGCAGGACCUUGGUGCUUGGCGAAAAGAAAAAAAAACACGUUAAACGUAUACCAGAGUGGCGGUAGAGAUUCGCAUUUUCUCCGGAAACAUUCAACAACAACCACAAACGGCAACAGGAAGCAAAAGCGCACCCCCCAAAAACGCAUCCCCGGUGCACUGUUUUCCACGAGAGCUGCGUGCAAAAAGAAGCGCAAUUUUGGCUGUUUUCUGGAAGCUCGGAAGGGAGGACCAAAAACCCACCCGGCAAGCGCUUGCUAGCGGAGGCGCAGCGCCUGGAAAAGCGAGCAUUUUCCGUCCCUUCGCGAGCGGGAAAAGCCGCAGGCCGAAACAAUAGGAAGUGCGGGAACUGCAGUGCGGAACAGAGAGCAAGCCAGAUAGAGAGAAAGCGAGAGAGAGUGCGCGUGCAAGUGAACAGUGUGUGGCAGGAAGUGCUGUGAGCUGGAAGGAAAAACUUCUCGUACACACACAUGGUGAGGUAGGAGCAGCAAAAAGCGAAAGGAAAGAAAAUCAGCGAGCGAGAGCAAGGAGUAAUCGGGAAAAAUUCGCUGCACCUCGUGUGCAGUAGCAGCAGCAUCAGCAGGAGCGAAGCAACAUACAAAAAAAAAAAAUAAGCGCAAAAGUGUGAACAAAAAGAAGGAAGAUAAAUAAACGCUUUUCUCCCGGUUCUCGUUGCGUGCAGUGAAGUGUGCGCUAUCUCGCUCCAACCGGGCAGGUAGAUGCAACGCGUGGUGCAGUGCAGCGGUGCAGUGGUGCAGUGUAGCGAUCGGCCAGCAGGCUCGUGCUGAGCGGCCGAGUGCAUUGCAAGGAUUCGCCGCGGUGCAUCGUCGCUACGGUGGCCAACCAUUCGAAGUGACUCGAGCGUCGAGCGCGGUGCUGGUGCAGCCCAGUUGCAGCCAGCGCACAAAUUUUGCAUAGCCCCGAACGUGGCUGGUGAACCGCGAAAAGGGAAUAAAAAACCCACAACGAGCGAAAGCAAACAAAAUACACAAAACAAAAAAAAACACGCAGGAAAAGUUACAAAAACGGAAAAAUAAAUCGCGCGAGUUCGAGGUCGCCCCGAUGCAGUGCAGUGA